rnacentral:piRNA from 1 species
UGGAAUGACUACGAAACAUCUUGGAUGACA